GCGGCGCAUAGAGUUAUUAGGCUCUAAACACGACAUAAAUCAGAAUAAACGCACUCGAAGCGUCGUGAAGAAAAAGCUCGCUAUCGCGAAAAAAUAGAUAACGCCGCGAGGAAGGUAGAGCUCGGCUGAAAUCUCGGCGUUCCCCAUUCAAGCGGGUCGUAAAAACCGCAAAACAAAGUGAACGAUAUACAAAAUUGUGGGAGAAAGCGGCGAGACAAGGAGAGAAGCGAGAUUCCAGCGAGAGAGAGAGAGAGAAGGGGGAUAAUUUAUCCGAAGGCCACGCCCCUUUUUCAUUGCGUCGCUUUUAAUAUCAAAACGCCCCUCCCUCCGACGCCAUAUCGGCGGCGUCUGCGUCGAGAUGCGAGCUCGCUGCUCACUCGACGCCCGUGGACCCGGCGCUCCGCUCCGUUCCUCAUCGCCUCGCGUCAUUUUAGUAGCCACUCGGUUUUUUUGCUGUUAAAACGAUCUUGAUUUCCCGCAGGCCGAUGACAUGUCAAUCGCCAGCUCACUCCAAGAUGGCCGAGGCUUCAAGUCAGUUGCGGCCGCUCCGCCGAGGCGACAGGUUUUUCGAGGGAGGCCCUAACAAGCAACCCUUCUGUCGCCGUAAAGCUGUCAGCUGCCCUUGUUAGGAGAGGAUUGCGCAGCCGGCUCUUUGUGGUUGGGCAACGUUGGGUCACCUGCCCUUCUCGGCCCUUGCCCUUCCACGAACUGGACACCUCGGACGGAAACCACCCCGAAGAAUUCCACGGAGUACUGUUGCCUAACGUUCCACCACUUCAAAAAGACACGUUUUUUAACAAUAGUAACUUGCAGUACUAUUCAUAAAAUUAUGUUCAUACCUUUAUUUGUUACAAAGGGAAUGUAUUAAGUUUGUGUUGAUUAGUAACAUCGUCAUUAGAUCGUACUGUAACAAUACUUAACAAUUAGUUACUGGGCAGUAUUUACAAGAUGAAUUUUGUUUCAGAUCUGUAAUACUUAAGUAAGAUUUUAGACUACAAUUGUGUUAUCUUGUCUAUAAAUCACCCGAUAACUAUCGAUAGCGUUAACGGUUGAUAUGUUGCAAUAAUAGUAAAACAUGUGUUGUUAUCAGAAGUAAUAAUCGAUAAGGCUAUGACCCUGUGACUCAGGGAUGGGUUGACAUCAAUUUCAUGCAAUUGACUCAGUUAAUGACUUUGUCUACGACUUAGAUAGUGGGAGCUCUGUCCAUCGCGGUACUAAGUCAGUCGCUAUAUAUCCGUCCGCGGCUACGAAGGCUCUCUCAAUCGUAAACUUUGUUUUUAACUCUGACGCACUCUUAUACAGUCCAUGUCUUUAUUGAGCUUUCUGUGACUCGCUGUGAAAUGUGUGACUUUUAAUAAAUUUUUGUGACUUAACGAUUACAUAAACUCGAUGUUUUGUUGACACCAUGCCACGCUGUGAGUAGAGCUCGCUAUACUGUACUUACAAUAAUUUUGUCCAUGAUGUAAUCUUACUACACUUGUCUCUAUUAUAAUAGCAUAUGUUAUAACACGUAUAGUAGAUUAAUAAUUGUUAUAUUUUUAGUAAAAAUAUAUUUGAAAUUUACAGUUAGAUAAUUUCAAAAUGCAUUGUAUUUCAUAUUUAUUUUAGCUUACAAGCUUUUCAAAUUGCUUUUUAUAAAUAAUUGCCGUUUUAAUAAAAAUACUAUACUGUACUAAAGGUUAUGAACAAUUGUAAAAAUAAUUCUUAGGGUUCUAUACAUAUGUAAGUAUUUUGACUCUAUUACUAAUACACUUGUGAAAAUUAAAUAGCCAUAGAUAUUUAUAAAGUGUAACUUAUAAGCGCCUUUGCGUCUUGAACCAAGAGGAUGAUGAAGACGGCGGAGCUAAACUGAAGAACGGCAACGUAGUAAAUUGUGGAACCCCCUGUACGUAUACUGAAUGUAUCCUGAGUGUUACUGUCAUCCGGUAUACCUUCAGUAUACGUAACAGGAGGACACACUGCAUCUGGGAAUCAUCUGGAAACAUUCUGGGAGUCUCUCCAGCACCCCGGAUGCUCUGCGUUGGGUUUGGCUGUCUUCACCACUUCUGGAAACCCUUAGAGUAUAAUUGUAUUGUAGUAAAUGUUUAGUUAUAUUUUGAAAAGUUUAAAAUAAUAAACGAGUAACAGUUAUUUUGUAACAGUUUAAUAACACUAAAUAGAAUAUAACCAUCGGUUAUUAAUAAUGUCCAAUACUUAAAACUGAUUUAUCAUUGCUGAGGUAAAAUACAUUUCAUUUGGUUAUUUGUGAUCAGUGAUUAAUAAAUUAACAUAUAUUUGAUACAAUAAAUAUAAGAUAUAUGUAUCACUGUUAGUUCUCAAUGCAAUACCAUGUAAAUUUUGACAUACGCCUUAGUAUCAAAUUAAUAGUUUAUUCAAUCUCAAAAUCAUAAAUUAAUUGAAAAACAGAUUUAAACAUUGUUAAAAUAAUAUAAAACUAAAAUAUAUGAAUCUUACAAUAUGUAAUGUAGCUUAAAUGUAUAAUAAAUACAAAAUUAAUGAAUAUAAAACAUACAAUUGAAUACACUUUAUCUUACAAUAUAAUAGAGUAUAUCAAAAUUAAUAGUAGGCCUACACAGUUCAUAUACAAUGUAAAGUAAAUAUUCCGUUUAUGAUUACUAUGUCUCUAGUUUAUAACAUACUAUUAGGGUAAUGCACUAAUGCGCAUGAAAAUAAUGACUGAUUAAAUAUUUACUACAGUUUUACUCGGUCUUUGUAAAAACUUUUAUAAGUUUGCUACUCGAAAAAGACCGUAUCGUAGAACAGCAAUUAAUUGUUUAAUUUAAUUUUACAUAAAGUACCAAUACUAAUAAAUAAAACAUAACAAGUUAUAUGGCAAUUACAAUGUAAAUUGUACAAUCGAAGUUUAAUGGAGAUAUUUCACAUAUUAUUGAGCAUUUAUAUACGGUGAAAUAUUAAUUUAUAAUUGGAAGAACUAAUUAUUAACUAAAUACAAAGAUGUUGAAAAUCCUACUAAAAUAUUCAACAACGGAUUAAGAGAUGUAGUGGCAUACUUUGUUAGACUUAAAGUACUAAUAUAACACAGCUGUUUACCACCAGUGUACGCCAAGCUCUCUCAAGACUGGGUGUCUAUUAAAUGGUUGUAUUUUGUUUUAUGAGCAAUGAAAACAUCGUAACUCCCUCGGCUGACCAAGUGUUUCAAUGCCCCGGGCUUGCAGACCAUCCAUCGUCCCGAGAUAGUCCCUUUAUUGUUAUAGACCCUCUUAAAAUCACUCUCAAUUUGUUAAAGCUACUUUAUGUUAGCAUAUGUCAUGUCCAGUUUUUCGAACGUUUCAAUCCGAACAAGCUCUUCUGUGCAGUGACAAGGAAGUAUGAAUUUUUUAUUUCACUAAACCAUGUUAUUCUUUAUUGUUGAUUGAUUUAUGUGAAAUCUUUUUUAUACGAUUUGGACAUAAUUUUUUUACAGUGAUAGUAUUAGUUUAUUUAUGUUUUUAGUAAUGUGUAAUAUAUCUAUACUACCUUGUUUACUUAAUACUUACAAUAAUUAUAUCAUGAUUUAGUUUAAAAUUAAAACUGGUGAUUUUAUAUGUAGCUUGGUUAAAAUAUCAAUAAAUUUUUGUUUAUUUUGGAAACAUUACAAUUUGUUUUUAUAUAUACCUUUCUUAUUAGUUACAUAAACACUAUCACAUUUUUAAAACCGUAAGGUAAUCAUUUAAUUCAAAUUUCGUCACAUUUUACUAUUGAAUAAUUUUAACUUUAUAAAUUGAAUUAGGAUGACUUGUAUAUUUCAUAAUAACUCAUGAUGAUAAAUGCAUAUGCAGUUUAUAAAAAUGUGGAGAAUUACUUGAAGGAAAUGAUUUAACAUGAAUUAAAGUAAAAUUUUACACGAAGACGUUUCAUUAAAUAGUUUUGAUUAGGAUUUUUAAUUUCAAAUAAUAUUGAUGUUUUAAGGGUUUUGAGUAUUUUGUAAAAAAUAGUAAUGAAACAUAUCUUUAUGAAUACAUUUGUACAUUAUUUUUCGUCAGUGUCAAAAAAUAGAAACUUUUUCUUUUUGUGAAUCACAAGGUGAGAGAAUAGUCUCAGAGCAGUUAUGAAUAGGAAUAAUUAAUACAUUUAGAAUAAGUAUUAAAAAAAUAGAGUGCAGAAUCGCACAGAAUUUGAAAAAGCUACCCACUGCUAGUGGGCAAAAUGAUAAAGUAACCAAUGCAUUUUACCUAAUGUAAGUGACAAAUAGAUUUUGUUUUUUUUUCACAGGGUAAGAAAGCCUCAUAAAUAUCAUAAAGUACAAGCAUCUCAUAGGAGAUUCUACAAAAACACGUGACUUGUUAUCACGUGUUGAACAACUCUCUAAGGUAGAUUAGUUUACUGAACUGUUUCUCGUAUAAAAAUAGAUAGAUACAUAACGGAUACGGUUCAAGACAAUGAAAGAAGAUGAGAUUUUAUGGUAACUAAACUGUUCUAUCAACGUUGUGACAGCGAAUAACUUUAAAGUUCUUAUCAAAAGACGAGUUUAUUCCCAUAAUUUUGUAAUGUAAAUAUUCAAUAUAAUGAAACAACUUAAAAUGGAAUGAUUUAUGUGAUGGUUCAUUUAUACAUUAAUUUAUUUUAUUAGAUAACUCAUAUAGUCGCGAUUAAAUGAAUAAUAGUUAUGAUUAUAUGCUCUUAAUUUCCUAGCACAAUUUAUAAAAUGGACGUAAUACGCCGAAUAAAAAAAAGAAAAGUAUUAAAAUUAGGGUUCCAGUAUAUUGUGACCGAUGAGCUUGACAAAAAUGUUCUGUAUAUACGAGAAAAAGUUAUAUAUAUGUAAAGAAAAGUUUAUGCAAUCUGUGAUGACUCAUUGUUAUUUAUUAUUUAUCUUAUUGAUAUGAUUUCACUUGAUCAUAUUACGGAAAGUUAAGAGCUUGUAUUGAAUAAUAUGUAUUCAUACCAUUAUUAUGGUAUAUAAUGUAAUGUGGUAGUUACAUUUUAUAUGUCCUAUUAGUAAUGUACUUAGGCUCAAAUAAAAAUUACUGUUGAUAAUGUUUGCUGUUUAAACAUUUAAUAACAUUUGAACAAAAAUUUGUUAGAUUGACUUUUCUGAAAUAGCUGUAGGCUAUUACUGGUUUUAUAUGUGUUUAGUUUAAUUUUCCUAAUACAUAAUUUUAAAAUAUGAAUUAGUAGAAAAUAAAUUAUUUGUAAGUGUUUGUACCAUACAUGUUUAGCAUAAAAACGACACACACUAGUCAAUAAUAAUGUAUUUUGUCACUACGUGAACAAUAAACGAGUAUGUGUGGGAAAUGGACACGUUCAUAUAUAUUUUAU